GAGUUAGAGCUCGAAUAUAUUUAUAAUAUCGGAAAAUUGUAUGGUUAUAGUAAAAGCUUCCUAGAUGCACUAUAUUCUAAAGUACAUCAAGUAACUCCCCGGCAAGUACCCUAAAGGCUAGAGCAAGCAGAAUAUGAGCCAAUAUUGUAUGCCAUGUCCAACUAUAAAGCAGUUAAGAAGUUUAUUAAAAAAAGGAAGUAAGAAAGUAACUUAUAAAAGAUAUCCCACCGUGUAUAAUCUACUUAAAAAUGAAAAAAAUAAAAGAAAGGAAGAAAAAAUGUCUGGAGUAUAUAGAAUUCCAACAGUGAAUAAUGCAAAAAAUGAGGAAGAAGCUUAUAUAGGAGUUAUUGCGAGACCAUUAGAGCUUAAGAAUACAGGAACACGAGAGAUGUAGCUAGAGGAAACCUGAACACCGCACUAGCGAGAAGCACUUAUGAAAGCAAUAUACGAAUAAAUUGGCAUGAAGCGAAAGUAGUUAAAAGUGUUAAAAAAGAAAAG
rnacentral:lncRNA from 1 species